UCUAAUACUGGAUACGAGCUGCGAAGGCAUCUUCAGCAGCUGGAAAGAACUUCGGUCAGGGAUGAGCUCGCGGCCUAUCAGCUUGUUGGUGAGGUAAUGGCUCACCAAGGCGUCGACGGGUAGCCGGCCUGAGAGGGUGACCGGCCACACUGGGACUGAGACACGGCCCAGACUCCUACGGGAGGCAGCAGUGGGGAAUAUUGCACAAUGGGCGAAAGCCUGAUGCAGCAACGCCGCGUGAGGGACGACGGCCUUCGGGUUGUAAACCUCUUUUAGCAGGGAAGAAGCGAAAGUGACGGUACCUGCAGAAAAAGCGCCGGCUAACUACGUGCCAGCAGCCGCGGUAAUACGUAGGGCGCAAGCGUUAUCCGGAAUUAUUGGGCGUAAAGAGCUCGUAGGCGGUUUGUCGCGUCUGCUGUGAAACCCCGAGGCUCAACCUCGGGCCUGCAGUGGGUACGGGCAGACUAGAGUGCGGUAGAGGAGAUUGGAAUUCCUGGUGUAGCGGUGGAAUGCGCAGAUAUCAGGAGGAACACCGAUGGCGAAGGCAGAUCUCUGGGCCGUAACUGACGCUGAGGAGCGAAAGGGUGGGGAGCAAACAGGCUUAGAUACCCUGGUAGUCCACCCCGUAAACGUUGGGAACUAGUUGUGGGGUCCAUUCCACGGAUUCCGUGACGCAGCUAACGCAUUAAGUUCCCCGCCUGGGGAGUACGGCCGCAAGGCUAAAACUCAAAGGAAUUGACGGGGACCCGCACAAGCGGCGGAGCAUGCGGAUUAAUUCGAUGCAACGCGAAGAACCUUACCAAGGCUUGACAUAUACGAGAACGGGCCAGAAAUGGUCAACUCUUUGGACACUCGUAAACAGGUGGUGCAUGGUUGUCGUCAGCUCGUGUCGUGAGAUGUUGGGUUAAGUCCCGCAACGAGCGCAACCCUCGUUCUAUGUUGCCAGCACGUCAUGGUGGGAACUCAUGGAAUACUGCCGGGGUCAACUCGGAGGAAGGUGAGGAUGACGUCAAAUCAUCAUGCCCCUUAUGUCUUGGGCUUCACGCAUGCUACAAUGGCCGGUACAAUGGGCUGCAAUACCGCAAGGUGGAGCGAAUCCCAAAAAGCCGGUCCCAGUUCGGAUUGAGGUCUGCAACUCGACCUCAUGAAGUCGGAGUCGCUAGUAAUCGCAGAUCAGCAACGCUGCGGUGAA
rnacentral:rRNA from 1 species